CUUCAGGAGUGAAGCUGCAGACCUUCGCGUGAUGGAGGUUGAGAAGUCCAACUUCAAGGCACCACAUCUGGUGAGAGCCUUCAUUCCGAUGACAGCCUUCAUGCUGGUAAGAUUUUCUUCAGAGUUCCAAGGUGGUGCACGGCAUCACAUGGCGAAGGAAAUGAGCGUGCUAGCUCAGGUGUCUCUUCCUCUUCUUAUAAAGCCACCAGUCCCACUCCUGUGCUAGUAACUCUUUAAUCCAUCAACCCAUUAAUCCAUGAAUAGAUUAACCCAUGAGGCCUCUGCCCUCAGGACCCAAUCACCUCUUAAAGGCCUGACCUGUCAAUAUUGCCAUACUGGGGACUCAGUUUCAACAUGAGUUUUGAAAGGGACAAACAUUCAAUCCAUAGUAACAUGAGAGCUUUUCAAAGCCCUUCUUUGUUGAAGUAUGUCCUUCUCCAGCCUCUUUUUUCCCAGGCUUUUUGUUUUUUCUAUUGCUUGUGCAGCUGUUAUCCUUUGCUACAGGUGGCAAUAGCUAAUACAUUUGCCUUUAAAUUUGUUUGACAAACACCACCCUGGAAGUAGCCUCAACUCUGGGGAAGCUCCAAGACAGGUAAAAUACAGGUAAGCCCUUGAGCAGAUCCUUCAGGAAGCUACCAUAUGGGUCAAAACACAGAACCACAAUUCUUUAAUUCUUUGAGAAUAAGGUCUGUAUUGUUCCCUCUGUUACCAGCAACCUGCAGCAGGAAAAUGGGCUUCAGUUUUCAAGUCUGCAGCUGAGUUGGGAAGUUGCGGACAGUAACCAGAGGAAAGGCCACAUGGGGACAAGAGAGGGCAACUGUCUACAAAUCUGGAAGAGAGACUUCAGAAGAAACCAGCACUGAUGGCAUCUGAUCUUGGACUUCCAGCCUCUGGAUCUAUCUGCCAGAGCCUGAUCUCAUACACACUGAUGUGGUACAGGAAAUGCCACCUGAAAAUAUGGUACCUUGGCAUUUGAGGAAACAGUAGAAGGAGGUCAUAGAAACUAGAAAGAAUUCCUCCUUGCUCUUUGUCCCCCAAAGGAGCCAUAAAACCUGGGCCGAGUUUCUUCUGAAAAUAAGUUAUAAGAUCCUUAUUCCAGAGGGGUCCUGCCCUGUGCCUGGAGGAAAAGAAUGAAGACACAGAGAUGCCUUGAAGAAUCUGAACAAACAGCCCUUGCUAAGUUCCCCCCAGUUUAUUGACAUUAGAUUAGACCUUUUGUCCUCCAAUUAUACUUCUGUGUUCCUGAAAAUACACAUUUUCCCGUUUUUUCUUUUGUUUGCUUUUUUUGAUCUUCAUUUCUGAAGAUUCCCAUGUCAUGUAAAAUAUAUGUUAAACAAAUGUG
rnacentral:lncRNA from 1 species